rnacentral:lncRNA from 1 species
UUUCUAACUUCAAUCUCCAACAAAUAAAUAUUUUAAAAUAUGCAAGAUUCAAACUCAAUUGGUCUAAUAAAAAUUAAAAUAAAUAAAAUUAAAAUUAUCAAAAAUCAAAACUCAAAAAAUUAAACAGAGGUCUCCUUGUUGCUUCCACUCCAGUUCACUAUCACCCCCGGUUGGCUUGUCCGUCGAUCGUCCUUGUCCGUCUGUCCAUCGUCCUUGCCCACUACUCGCAUCGCCUGUCCAUCGUCCUUGCCCACUACUCGCGUUGCUUGUCUAUCGUCCCUGCCUACCGCUCACGUCUUUUAUCGCUCACCAUCGUGCAUAGCUCGCAUCGCUCACCAUCGUGCUGCUCGUGCCGCAUGCCAUCUCAUGCUACUCAUUGGUGGCUGCUGCUCACUGCUUGGCAUCGCUUUUGGCUCCUCCGACUCUUUUAAUCAAGCAUGAAAAAUGAAAGAUAAUUUGAAAUUUUGAAAAAUAUGAUUUAGAAA